GCAGGAGUGGUUCAGUGGUAGAACGCUUGCCUUCCACAUGAGACACCUGGGUUUGGUCCCCGGCCAAUGCA
rnacentral:tRNA from 1 species